CUGGCUCAGGACGAACGCUGGCGGCGUGCCUAAGACAUGCAAGUCGAGCGGGGCCCUUUCGGGGGCCCAGCGGCAGACGGGUGAGUAACACGUGGAUAACCUGCCCCGGCCACCGGGAUAACAGGCCGAAAGGCCUGCUAAUACCGGGUAAGCUCACGGCUCCGCAUGGGGCUGGGAGAAGAGGGGCGAUGGCCCCGGGCCGGGAGGGGUCCGCGGCCCAUCAGCUGGACGGUGGGGUAACGGCCCACCGUGGCGACGACGGGUAGCCGGCCUGAGAGGGUGGACGGCCACACUGGGACUGAGACACGGCCCAGACUCCUACGGGAGGCAGCAGUCGGGAAUCUUGCGCAAUGGGCGAAAGCCUGACGCAGCGACGCCGCGUGGGGGAAGAAGGCCUUCGGGUUGUAAACCCCUGUUGCCCGGGACGAGGCCGGUGCGGAGGGAAUGCCGCGCGGGUGACGGUACCGGGCGAGGAAGCCACGGCUAACUACGUGCCAGCAGCCGCGGUAAUACGUAGGUGGCGAGCGUUGUCCGGAAUGACUGGGCGUAAAGGGCGUGUAGGCGGCCCGGUAAGUGGAAGGUGAAAGGUCCCGGCUCAACCGGGGAGGUGCCUUUCAAACUGCCGGGCUUGAGUGGGCUAGAGGGCAGCGGAAUUCCCGGUGUAGCGGUGAAAUGCGUAGAGAUCGGGAGGAACACCAGUGGCGAAGGCGGCUGCCUGGGGCCUGACUGACGCUGAGGCGCGAAAGCUGGGGGAGCAAACAGGAUUAGAUACCCUGGUAGUCCCAGCCGUAAACGAUGAGCGCUACGUGUGGUGGGUAUCGACCCCUGCCGUGCGGUAGCCAACGCAUUAAGCGCUCCGCCUGGGGAGUACGGCCGCAAGGCUGAAACUCAAAGGAAUUGACGGGGGCCCGCACAAGCGGUGGAGCAUGUGGUUUAAUUCGAAGCAACGCGUAGAACCUUACCUGGGCUUGAAAGGCCGCUGGUAGCGCCCGAAAGGGCGUGAGCCCCGCAAGGGGAGGGCGGUACAGGUGGUGCAUGGUUGUCGUCAGCUCGUGUCGUGAGAUGUUGGGUUAAGUCCCGCAACGAGCGCAACCCCCGUCCCGUGUUGCCAGCACGGAAGGUGGGCACUCACGGGAGACUGCCGGGGACGACCCGGAGGAAGGUGGGGAUGACGUCAAAUCAUCAUGCCCCCGAUGUCCAGGGCUACACACGUGCUACAAUGGCCGGGACAGAGCGGACCGAACCCGCGAGGGGGAGGGAAUCGCAAAAACCCGGUCCCAGUUCGGAUCGCAGGCUGCAACUCGCCUGCGUGAAGGCGGAAUCGCUAGUAAUCGCGGAUCAGCACGCCGCGGUGAAUGCGUUCCCGGGCCUUGUACACACCGCCCGUCACACCAUGGGAGUCGGCAACACCCGAAGCCGGUGGGCCAACCCGAGAGGGAGGCAGCCGUCGAAGGUGGGGCCGAUGACUGGGGUGAAGUCGUAACAAGGUAGCCGUAUCGGAAGGUGCGGCUGGAUCACCUCCUU
rnacentral:rRNA from 1 species